UAUGUCUAAACACAUGAGUCUGUUAGCCAAUCUGAAAACAAUGGUAGAGAAUAAAAAGGUGACAAGUUGAGGAGUGCUGUUACUGGACCAUUACACUCACCGCAUAGAGGUACUGAGGAUCAUGGUGCACUGUGCAGACCUCAGCAAUCCCACGAAGCCACUGGCCGUGUACCACCAGUGCACCGAACGUAUCAUGAAAAAAUUCUUCAGAUGGGGACAAGGAGCGCGAACGCGGCAUGGAGAUCAGUGCUAUGUGUGAUAGACACACCUCAUCUGUGGUGAAGAGUCAGGUUCUUCUCAUGUCUGAUCUUGGUGUGGUGUGGAACAGAACUUAACUUUUUGGGGACCCCAUAUUGUUUUGGACAUUAAUGGAGAUGACAUCCUAAGAGACCUGCAAAAAUCUACAACGGGCAUAUAUGUCGUCAACAAGGAGGGUGCAGAAACUGGACAUUAUGAUGAUAUUGGCGUUUGUUGAAGGAGCUGUCAUUCUGGAGAACACUGGAUCUGUACCCUGAGCUUCUGCAAUGAUGCUUGGAGUCAUCUAUGCACUGAACAUGGCUUACCCCAAACAUCUUAAGUAUUACUAUGAAUUUAUUCAAAAAGUGCUAUUUCGGAUGGAUAGUGAAAGGCGGUCCCCCAAAAUCCUUGGUUUAAAGAACAAAAUCAGUGCUGGACUGUAAGACUCUGUCAGCCGCACCCUGUAAAGCUGCAGUGGUAUUUAUGUUUUUUUGCUGGGGGGUGAGAGAGAACA